AUUGAACGCUGGCGGCAUGCCUUACACAUGCAAGUCGAACGGUAACGGGCCUUCGGGUGCCGACGAGUGGCGAACGGGUGAGUAAUAUAUCGGAACGUGCCCAGUAGUGGGGGAUAGCCCGGCGAAAGCCGGAUUAAUACCGCAUACGACCUGAGGGUGAAAGCGGGGGAUCGCAAGACCUCGCGCUAUUGGAGCGGCCGAUAUCAGAUUAGCUAGUUGGUGGGGUAAAGGCCUACCAAGGCAACGAUCUGUAGUUGGUCUGAGAGGACGACCCACCUCACUGGGGCUGGGACGCUGCCCAGACACCUACGGGUGGCUGCAGGCGAGGAUCUUCGGCAAUGGGCGCAAGCCUGACCGGGCGAUGCCGCGUGCGGGAUGAAGGCCUUCGGGUUGUAAACCGCUGUCGAGGGGGAGCAACUUCCAUAGAGUUAUCUUUAUGGAUUGAGUGAUCCCUGGAGGAAGGACGGGCUAAGUUCGUGCCAGCCGCCGCGGUAAAAC
rnacentral:rRNA from 1 species